rnacentral:rRNA from 1 species
GACGAACGCUGGCGGCGUGCUUAACACAUGCAAGUCGAGCGGUAAGGCCCUUUCGGGGGUACACGAGCGGCGAACGGGUGAGUAACACGUGGGUGACCUGCCCUCAGCUCUGGGAUAAGCCUGGGAAACUGGGUCUAAUACUGGAUAUGACUCCACGGUGCAUGUCGUGGGGUGGAAAGCCUUGUGCGGCUGGGGGAUGGGCCCGCGGCCUAUCAGCUUGUUGGUGGGGUGAUGGCCUACCAAGGCGACGACGGGUAGCCGGCCUGAGAGGGCGACCGGCCACACUGGGACUGAGACACGGCCCAGACUCCUACGGGAGGCAGCAGUGGGGAAUCUUGCGCAAUGGGCGAAAGCCUGACGCAGCGACGCCGCGUGAGGGAUGACGGCCU